CGGGUUCACAGGUGGUGCAUGGUUGUCGUCAGCUCGUGUCGUGAGAUGUUGGGUUAAGUCCCGCAACGAGCGCAACCCUCGUUCCAUGUUGCCAGCACGUAGUGGUGGGGACUCAUGGGAGACUGCCGGGGUCAACUCGGAGGAAGGUGAGGACGACGUCAAAUCAUCAUGCCCCUUAUGUCUUGGGCUUCACGCAUGCUACAAUGGCCGGUACAAUGGGUUGCGAUACUGUGAGGUGGAGCUAAUCCCAAAAAGCCGGUCUCAGUUCGGAUUGGGGUCUGCAACUCGACCCCAUGAAGUCGGAGUCGCUAGUAAUCGCAGAUCAGCAACGCUGCGGUGAAUACGUUCCCGGGCCUUGUACACACCGCCCGUCAAGUCACGAAAGUUGGUAACACCCGAAGCCGGUGGCCUAACCCUUGUGGGGGAGCCGUCGAAGGUGAC
rnacentral:rRNA from 1 species